rnacentral:sRNA from 1 species
UAUGUGGCCUGAUGAUGUCAAAUCCAAGAACUAUAGUGGCUCAUUCAUUGUGGAUUUGGGUAGCACAGCCACUUACCCUGAAAUCCAUUGUUUCUGGUUGAGUACAAGACGCAGGUAGUGCCUUGCUGAUAUAGAUCAAUGCUUUAUGGAUUAGGAGCCAUCUGAUUGGGACAGUGAACUUGUGAAUAAGUUUUUCAAUGACAUGCAUAAGGAAAAUGUGGCGAUUUCAAAAAAAAAAAAAAAAGAAAAGAAAAGAAAAGAAAGGAAAGGAAGUAGGAGAGGGCGUUGAGAAGGAGCAGGAAUAGCAGAAAGCGAUUUGCAAAGAGAGAGACCCAGCGACCAAACCCUAAUUGGGAAGAAUUCAACAUUUACCCAAGGGGUUGGCUUGAUAUCGACUAUUCUUCUUGUGCAGGCGUGCUCAUACACACCACCCUAAGGUUUCCAAGAAGGGAGGAGGGGAUACUUUAACCAGCGUGUAUAUCACGGUCGGCAUCCGACAACACAUGAAUUCACCAAAAUUGUGAGCUUGUCAGUAGGCACUUUGGUCCACUGUUAUCCCACAGAAUGCAAGGAGGAGCAGAGCUGUCUGCCGGACUGCUUAUCAUUGCGACGAAGUAGAA